CUAAAUAAAGAAAUAAGUAGAAAAUGAAAAUAUCCAAAAAAAAAAUAGAAGAAGAAUGCACAGAAGUGGAAAAAAAUUAAAUUGGAAAAGAAAAAUAAAAGAAGAGCGCGAGCGAGAGAGCGAGAGCCAAACCUUCGAAGAUUCGAAACCCAGUCACUCGGGUUCGAUUUAUCUGCAAUUCGUCAAGGUCAGAGCUCUCUGUCAAUCUCCCACCCUCUUUUGCGUACUCCCAAGUCUAGUUUUUUGCUCUUCAUUGUGCUUCAUUCUUCUGCAAUUCGUUUUUCUGCUAUUUCCUGCCAUGUUUCCUAUACUCAAUUCGUCCAACUCCCUGAUCUCUUUUAUUCAACUUCGAAUUUGGGACUUUGAAGUUUGAAACAUUUUGAAUUUGGCCAAAAGAAUGAGGGGUUUUCAUUGGUGCAGUGGUCCGAUUUGUGGUUCGUGCAGUGCGUGAGAAGGCACGGUGCUGUGGGCCCAAGUUUGGUUAUUCAAGCUUAGGGUUUUGGACGUGCAUGGUUUUCAAAAAACUUCAGCUUGAUUAGGUGGGAUUUAGUGAGCUCCGUAGUCGGUUUGAUCUCUAGGGUUUUGGUUUCGGAAAAAUGAGAUUUGGGUUCGCAUUGUAUGGUUUGUGGGUUGGUGAAUUCGGGGUUGUUUGGAACUAAGGAUACUGUUAAUUGGUUAUAAAUUGGGGUUUCGGGGUUCUGGGGAUUCGUCGGAUCCCGCUGUGGAUUUGCAUUCAAUGAUAUGUGGGAGGGAAAUUUCUGGGUCGUUUGGAAAACGAGAUAAGUGUGAUUUGGGAUAAACUGCGGUUACUGUUGGGCUUGUGAUUCUGCGGACGGUGUAUGAAUCUGUGUCUCGAGACAUGCAACCUCAGCAGAGCGCCAGAAUUGAUUUGGUUGACUUGAAAGCUCAGAUAGUGAAGAAGCUUGGGGUGAAUAAAUCAAAACUGUACUUCCAUCACUUGAAUAGGUUCUUGAGCCAUAAAUUGGGCAAGGGUCAGUUUGAAAAUUUUUGUAUUCGGGCUUUUGGGAGGGACAAUCUUCCACUGCACAAUCAACUCAUAAUUUCAAUCUUGAAGAAUGCAUGCCAAGCCAAGACCCCACCACCAAUUCAUUUAACGGGUCCCCAAAAAUUAGGGAUACAAGCUGCAAACAGUUCCGGUGGGGAAGAUGGGCAUGAACAAAGUGGGGUAAUUUUUCCAGGUCAGAAUCAGAAUGUGCCUGUGUGGUCUAAUGGGGUUCUGCCAGUGUCCCUGCGAAAGGGUAGGUCUGGGAUACGUGAUCGGAAGCUCAAGGAUAGACCAAGCCCACUUGGACCGAAUGGGAAGGUCGAGUGUGUUUCACAUCAGUCCAUGGGAACAGAAGAUGGCAGUAGUAAGUUUAACAUGGAAAAUGGGGAUUUGACUCCAUGUGAUUAUCAGAGAUCAGUGCAGCAUCUUCAAACAGUUGCUGAGCCAUAUGAGAAUGAGAGGGAGGGUGCUGUCCAGCGACCUGCAGAGAAGCCAAGGAUACAUUGUAAGGAUCAGACUGCAGUAGCUGUCAUUGAUGAUCAGGUGGAGCAGUCAAACCGGUUGAGAUUCUAUAGAAGUCACCUACUUGCCCCCCUAGGAAUUCCAUUUUGCUCAGCUAGUGUAGGCGGGUCACGUAAAGUUAAUCCAUUCAGUAGCAGUGGUGAUUUUGUUAGCUGUUAUGAUAGUGGUGGAUUGUCUGAUACAGAGACACUGAGAAAACGUGUGGAGCAGAUUGCGGCAGCACAGGGCCUUGGUGGUGUUUCCAUGGAAUGUGCUAAUAUGUUGAAUAAUAUGUUGGAUGUGUACUUGAAGCGGUUAAUCAGGUCUUGUGUUGAGUUGGUGGGAGCAAGGUGUUCACGUGAGCCAAAAAAGUACCCUGCUCACAAGCAGCAGAUUCAAGGCAAAAUUCUCAAAGGUAUGUGGCCAAGUAAUCAUUUACAUAUGCAGAGCACAGGUGGACCCAUGGAAGUUAUGCAGGAGCAAGGACCCCAAUGCUCAAUAUCUUUGCUUGAUUUCAAAGUUGCCAUGGAGCUGAAUCCUCAGCAACUUGGGGAAGAUUGGCCAUUGCUGCUGGAGAAAAUUUGUAUGCAAGCAUUUGAGGAAUGACACUUCCCUACAGAUCUUUGCUCAUUCCAAGACUUGGUUGGUUUGGUAUGUUCUGGUGCAAAGGGGUGGACAACCAUUGUUGGAGAUAAUUGUUGCACUAAGUUCUGUUCUUACUGCCAAGAUGAGCCAGAUUUCUCCCAGUUGCUUAAAGCUCUGGCCCUUACAAAUGAAUUGUGGUCGUGAGCAUUAAAAUGUCUGUAUUUGCCUGCUGCAGAGCAUGGCUGGUCGGGAAAUUAUUUAACUGCAACCAACCAAAGGGUUCCUUCAAAUAGAAUGCCCAUGAUUGAUUGCUCUGUUGUAUCUUUAGCAUUGAUCUUGGCAGUAUUUGCCAUCUCUACAGAUCUCAAGCAUUUCCUGUAAUUUUCAGCCAAUGUGGAGGAAAACUAAGAGAGUUUUACCAGAAUACUGUUGUGUAGCGUGGUGAAAGAUGUCCUUGGAUCACUUUUCCUCGUGGACAUCAACCGCUCUAGAGAAUGUGCAGAUGUCAAGCAAAUGCUGUUCGUGUAGUUAUGUGGAUCUGAAGCUGGCAAAGCACUGUAGUAAUAUUUAUAAGGGGCUCAUACUUAAUUUUUCAAUUUGUUUGUCAUUGCUUGGAAUACUGAGGAUAUCUUUGCUGUAUUAAUAUCCUUAUUAUACUUAUCAAAUUAUAAAUAUAUCCUUAUGAUCAACUUGUUGAUUGUGGGAACUUUCACUCACUUUUUCUACAAGCACACUUCUUUUCUAGUUUUUGUUUUUCAUCAGUGUGCUGUCUGUGAUAAGCCAUUGGUUAACAUACUUCGCCAUUCCUAACAGAAGGACAAAGAAAUUAUACAUUAAUUUUUUAGCAGCUAACGAGGACCAUUUGAGCCAUCCCAUGUGCACCAUUGUGCCUGAUGAUUUUGAACUAUAGGGGGGGGGGGGAAGAAGAAGAAGAAGAGUGAAACCACAUGGAUGGUUGGAAUCUGCUAGAACAGAACAUUCCAGUUUCCACUAAAUUUUCAGCACUUUUUAUAUCAUCAACCUUCAAAUUCUGACUUCAGUUUUGCACAUAAGCAUUUCUAUUGAUUAAUGAUAAUGAAAAAAAAACUUCUAUAACUUUGUAUCUUCCCCAGUAUUGUGUAUAUUCAAUCUACCAAAGGUUCUUGUUGGUCAUAAAGAGGAAAAAAACUUGGGAAAUGUAAUAAAAGAAUUCUGGAUUUCUUACCCUGUCAGACUAAAUGCAAUGUCAUAUUGUGCUCUUGUCAGUUGAUGGCCAAGAAAGAUGGCGGUAAUAUCACUCUGAUUUAAGGUGAAAGAUAAGGAGUUUAUGUGCUUUUUUGGGAGGCUACUAAAAAAUAUUCUAGGACCCACACGAACCUGAGAAUGAUGGAGGUUUGGUUCAGUUUCUGAGUGAGAGAUCAACGGUGAAGAAAUUAUCAGAUGCAAGUUUAUCAAAUGAAAAAGAAGCUAUUGUUAAAGAUGUGGAUGAGGUGGUGCAGGUAAACUACCGAGUAUGAGUCAUCUCUUUGUAUUCCAUUUUGCCCAGCUCAUAUUGUACUUUUAUUAUUUAAUUUGGUAACAAACUUUUCUUAUCAGAAAAAAUGGAAACAAACUCAUAAAAAACUUAUUAAUUUUGUUAACAAAAAGGUAAUUUUAUGACACAAUUCAAGGGGAAUGCAUAGUAGACAGAAGCAGUGCCAUGGACCAUGCCGGUAUGUUUAUGUUUAUGUUGGAUGUUGGCUGUAAGUUGUUGAUCAGGUCCUGCUUUGUGAUGUUUGGAGCUAGGUCUGCACAUGAGCUGAAAAGGAAAAGAUGUUUUGCAUAUGCAAAUAGGUAGGGUCUGCAUAAAUUUCUGCUUGAUUUCUUGUUUAUCCUAGGGGAAUCUGGAGCAAGGUAGUCGACUUACUAGCAAGUUGGAGACGCAUCCAAGAUGAUUCUCAAAUUGCAGCCAUGUGGAAGAUGGUAUCGAUUUGUCUAUGGCGGUGCAUAUGGAUGGAGAGAAAUGCAAGGAGCUUCGAUGAUUUUUUUCUUUGUACUUUAUGCCAUUGGUCAAUUGUAAUAUAUUUUAAUGGCAUGAACAUUCAUGACUUCCUUGUAUUUUUAGACAAUCAUGCAUAAGGGUUGCUCUUGUAUAUAUCCCAUAUUCUUGGGCUAUGCCUAUUUUUCUUAUUAAUAAAAUUCUACUUUACUUAUAAAAAAAAAA